rnacentral:lncRNA from 1 species
UGAAUUGAUAAAACUUUAGGUUUUGCUUGAGUUUUUGAGAAAUUGAAUUAAUUUUUUGCGUGAAUUAGUUAUAGAAUUUGAAAAGUUUGCGUGAAUUAUAUUAUAUUUAAGUUGCGUGAACUAUAUUUGAUUUUGCUUGAUUUUUUUUAUUUUUUGCUUGAAUUAAUAAAACUUUAGUUUUUGCUUGAAUUAUUGUUUAGUUUGUUUGAAUUAUUUAGUUUUUGCUUGAAUUAGUAAAACUUUAGGUUUUGCUUGAAUUUUUGACGAACUGAAUUAUUUUUUUCCGUGAAUUAGUUACAAAAUUUGAAAAGUUUGCGUAAAAUUUUUGCGUUAAUUAUAAAUUGCGUAAAUUAUAUAUAAAUUGGGUGAAUUAUAUAUAAUAUUGCGUGAAUU